GACUUCAUAGAUUCAUUAUGUUAUCUAAAAUAGCUGGAUAGAUUUUGAGAAUUUGGUGAAUUAACUUUGGAUGUAUAAAUUGUGAGAAGAUCCUGGAGUGAGCUUUUGCAAGGAAUCAAAGAAACGCUGUUUGGAGAGAUAAGGUGGCAUGAGCUUUAAUUACAGGUGCACUGGUUUGUGCAAGACGGUGAAAUGAAGAUCCAAGAACUACUAUGUUGCAAAAAAGGAGAGCAAAAAGAGUUUAAUUACAAAUAAACUUUAGAUAUUAACUGGUGUAUUGAAUGCAUUGAAGGCUGAAUAAAACCUCUUACAUAUUUUUAGGUUGGCUAAUUUGUAAAGGCUUGGUCAUGUUCUUGCAAUCUUACAGUAAUGCUAAGUUUUCUUAAGCUUUUUCUUAGGACAUUCAGACAGCUUAACUGCAUACCACACACUAUUUUUUUGUUGAUUGCAAGAUGUGACAAAUAGGACUGGUCUAUCUUUGCUGGCUGAGAUCUACUCAGAACUUUUUAGAUAUGGAAAAUGCUUCCCCAACUAGAGAGUUCCUGGCUAUGCAUUUACUCCAUAGAGUCAUUAUGUCAUAAAAAAUAGUUGGAUAGAUUUUGAAAUUUUGGUGAAUUAACUUUGGAUUUAUAAAUUGUGAGAAGAUCCUGGGGUGAGCUUUUGCAAGGAAUGAAAGAAACACUGUUUAGAGAAAUAAGGUGGCAUGGGAUUUAAUUACAGGUCCAUUGAUUUGUGCAAGACGGUAGAAAUGAAGAUCCAAGAACUACUAUGUUGCACAAAAGGAGAGCGAAAAGAGUUUAAUUAAGGACAAACAAACUUUAGAUAUUAACAGGUGUAUUGAAUGCAUUGAAGGCUGAAUAAAACCUCUUACCGAUGUUUUUAGGUUGGCUUUUGACCUUUUCUUUUCCACAAAUGUAAAUGUUUAAAGGCUCGGUCAUGCUCUUGCAUCCUCGUGGUAACACAAAGUUUGCCGAAGGUUUUUCUUAGGACAUGCAGAUAGCUAAACUGCAUACACCUUUGGAUUGGUAUAAUUUAGCUGGCUGAGUUCUACUCAGAACUUCUAAGAUAUGGAAAAUGACUUUUUCCUUGAAAUAUUAUUUUGGUAGCUGGUCUCUUUGAGAUAUACAAUGUCAUUAUCCAUAGCAUGAGAAAAUUUAAUAAUGCAAUAGAAGAUAAUAAUAGGGAUUCUAACUUAUUUGGCUGCAUAAAAGGAAGUGAUCUUUUGCUUUGAUGAUUGAUAUCAAAGUUUCAAGUGAAUUAGGAUCAUCUCCAUUUCGUGUUAUGCUGCCAUGACCUCAUGGUUGUUAAUUUCUUUUGCAG
rnacentral:lncRNA from 1 species